AGUGGAACGCAUGAUUGAUACCGUAGCUUGCUACACCAUUAAUCAUGAGUCGCGAACGGGUGAGUAACGCGUAGGUAACCUGCCUACUAGCGGGGGAUAACUAUUGGAAACGAUAGCUAAUACCGCAUAAGAGUUUUUAACACAUGUUAGAAAUUUAAAAGGAGCAAAUGCUUCACUAGUAGAUGGACCUGCGUUGUAUUAGCUAGUUGGUAAGGUAACGGCUUACCAAGGCGACGAUACAUAGCCGACCUGAGAGGGUGAUCGGCCACACUGGGACUGAGACACGGCCCAGACUCCUACGGGAGGCAGCAGUAGGGAAUCUUCGGCAAUGGGGGGAACCCUGACCGAGCAACGCCGCGUGAGUGAAGAAGGUUUUCGGAUCGUAAAGCUCUGUUGUAAGAGAAGAACGUUGAGUAGAGUGGAAAGUUACUCAAGUGACGGUAUCUUACCAGAAAGGGACGGCUAACUACGUGCCAGCAGCCGCGGUAAUACGUAGGUCCCGAGCGUUGUCCGGAUUUAUUGGGCGUAAAGCGAGCGCAGGCGGCUCUGUAAGUCUGAAGUUAAAGGCAUUGGCUCAACCAAUGUUCGCUUUGGAAACUGCAGGGCUUGAGUGCAGAAGGGGAGAGUGGAAUUCCAUGUGUAGCGGUGAAAUGCGUAGAUAUAUGGAGGAACACCGGUGGCGAAAGCGGCUCUCUGGUCUGUAACUGACGCUGAGGCUCGAAAGCGUGGGGAGCAAACAGGAUUAGAUACCCUGGUAGUCCACGCCGUAAACGAUGAGUGCUAGGUGUUAGGCCCUUUCCGGGGCUUAGUGCCGCAGCUAACGCAUUAAGCACUCCGCCUGGGGAGUACGACCGCAAGGUUG
rnacentral:rRNA from 1 species